UGUGUUUUGUUUCUCCAAAAUCAAAACUGAUACUGAUCAGGUGCACAAUAGCUGUGAAGGAUGCAGCCUCUGAAUUGGGAUACAGCUGUAGUGUUAUACAGUAUGUUCAUCUGUUUAUAUCACGCUGAGUUUAUUUCACAAGUUAAACUAAAUAUUUAUCUGCAGCCUGAUAUCAUUUUAAUGACCCAUGAGUCAAGGGCAAGAAAACAGGCAGAAAACCUCAUAGUGAUUGACGUUGUUCCGCUUGUCCUAAAAAUCUAUUGGCUGGAAUUUACAACCUUGACACUGGAAAAUAUUUCAUGCUCAAUCCUGAAGAAGAUGUUUUCAGUCAAAGUCCAAACAUGCGGACUGUACUUCUUCUGCUCCUUGGAGUUUGUCUCGCCUGUGCAGGUGAGUACUAUAAAAACACACUCUCUGAAAUACUUCUUUACUGCUGUGUCUGGAGACAUUGACUUCCCAGAGUUCACUAUUGUUGGUCUGGUCGAUGAAGGGCAGUUCAUUUACUUUGACAGCAACACAAUGAAAGUUGUGCCGAAGACAGAGUGGAUGAGACAGAAAGAAGGAGACAGUUACUGGGACACACAAACGCAGCUUGCAGCUGGAACUCACCAGGCAUUCAGAAACAACAUCCAAGUCGCAAAAGAACGGUUCAACCACUCAACAGGUGUGCACACAUUCCAGGAAAUGUACGGCUGUGAAUGGGAUGAUCACAUUGGAGCAACAGAUGCAUUCCGCCAGGAAGGUUAUGAUGGAGAGGACUUUCUGUCUCUGGAUUUUAAGGAGAUAAGAUGGAUUACCCCAGUGCAGCAAGGAUUUCCCAGCGCACAGAAGUGGAACAAUGACAGAGCUAAUCUUAAGGGUAAUAAAAAUUACCUCAGCACUGUGUGUAUUGAGUGGCUGAAGAAAUAUCUGGAGUAUGGAAAGAGCAGCCUGCAGAAAACAGUUUCUCCUCAGGUGUCUCUGUUGCAGAAGGAUCCCUCCUCUCCAGUGACGUGUCAUGCUACAGGAUUUUACCCCAGAGGAAUAGUAAUCUCCUGGAUGAAAAAUGGACAAGAUCAUUAUGAGGAUGUGGAUCUUGGUGAACUUCUUCCUAAUGAGGACAGAACCUUCCAGAAGAGAAGCACCCUCAGUGUUACACCUGAUGAGUGGAAGAAGAACGAGUUCAGCUGUGUGGUGGAACAUCAGGGCAAAACCGUGACAGAGAAAAAGAUCAGGACUAACAAUGACCCAACAGAAACAUCUGUUCCCAUUGCCAUGAUUGUUGGUGCUGUCGCUGCUGUCAUCCUGUUGGUUGUCAUUGGUGCUGUUGGGUUUAUCGUGUAUCAGAUAAAAAAAGGUUGUUUUUCAGGCUUUAAACCUGUCAAGCCCUCUGAUGAUUCCUCUAGUCAAAGAAGCACCAACACCCUAAUAUCUUCUGGCAGUGGAUCUAGCACCUCAAGUUAGACAUCUCAUGGCCUUAUAUAUGUCACAACGUGACUGAGAGAACUGAUCCUGACAAAUAAUGUCCAGCCUUCUGCCAUAGAUCUCUCAGAGAGACGAACACAAACACAUUCUCUUCUUCUCUCUUUCUCUCUCUCUCUGACAUGUCAUAACAUGUCAUUGUUUUUUUUUUUAGUUGUUUUUUUUUUUUACUUAUUAUCCAGUGCUAAAAAGUCUUUUCUUUCUUAAAAAGACUAAACUGUGGCACCAGAAAUAAGAUGAAACAGUGCAAAAACAAAUCAUUUUCAGUCAAAUACAGGUUAAAACCAUAUUAAACAGCCCUAAUAUUCUAUACAGAAUUAACAUGCACAAGCAAACAUACAAUAAAAGGCUUUUCAAUUCACAUAUCACUAAUCUUACAAACAUUGAUCUCACAUUUACUUUGAUAACACAAACUGUAGGUGCAUUGGUUUUGGGCAAAAAAUAUUGUAAGUUCACACUUAUUUUAUUCUAUUAUAUUGUAUUUUAUUACCCCUGUGAUGGACUGGCCAUCUGUCCAGAGUCAGGAGAGCACUUUAAUAAUGAGAUGUGAAUUUGGGUUGUGCAUUUUGCAACGUCCCCUGUUGCUUAAAAACAAUUAUUUUCACAUUAUAAUUAAAAUUAGAAAAAAAACUUUAUUCAUUUAAAUUUAUCCUUAAAUCAAAUGUCAACAUUGACUUCGAAUUCCUCACAAAUUCAUCAAAUACACAGCUAAGCUGAACACCCUUUAUGUAGUAAGAUUUAUAUUUUAAUUGGAUACAUUAAACAAGAAUCAUGUAGAAAUGUCCCCAUACUACUACUUAAUUAUUAAAUACUACAUUCUCUAGGGGGAAAAUCUUACUCACUAAAAAAACAAAGCCAAAAAUAAAGUUAUAAAUCACAUAAACACAAAUGUGUAUAAACAUAUACAAAGAAACAUAAGCAUACAGACAAAACAAUCCUGAAACUUAAACUUAUUUUUCUUAUGUAGCACAAUUCAACUAUUUACAAUCACAGCUACACCUCUUCUUUCACCGCCUUCUCUAGCAACCUUGUCUUGAACUGUUGUGAAAAAUAUGGAAUAGUCCAAUCUCACCUAAAAACAGGGGUGUUUGGGUGAAUCUAUGAGCUGAAGAUGGGUCUUUUUACAAUUGAUACUCUCCUGUUCAGAAUUUUUUAGUACAGAUAGAAAUAAAAUACAUUCAACUAUUCUGA